UAGGGAAUCUUCCGCAAUGGACGAAAGUCUGACGGAGCAACGCCGCGUGAGUGAAGAAGGAUUUCGGUUCGUAAAACUCUGUUGUUAGGGAAGAAAAAAUGUAUAGUAACUAUAUACAAAAGAGACGGUACCUAACCAGAAAGCCACGGCUAACUACGUGCCAGCAGCCGCGGUAAUACGUAGGUGGCAAGCGUUGUCCGGAAUUAUUGGGCGUAAAGCGCGCGCAGGUGGUUUAGAAAGUCUGAUGUGAAAGCCCACGGCUAAACCGUGGAGGGUCAUUGGAAACUAAUAAACUUGAGUGCAGGAGAGAAAAGUGGAAUUCCUAGUGUAGCGGUGAAAUGCGUAGAAAUUAGGAGGAACACCGGUGGCGAAGGCGGCUUUUUGGCCUGCAACUGACACUGAGGCGCGAAAGCGUGGGAAGCAAACAGG
rnacentral:rRNA from 1 species